rnacentral:lncRNA from 1 species
AAAUAUAAAAUAUGAAUAUAUAAAAAUAAAAUUAUAAUACUAGCUUUUGUUGUCUCCAGAGAUCCAGGGGAAACCUUCACUCUGAUUUCUCCACAUUAAGAUGCAGAAUCCACAAACAAAGGAAAUGAAUUUCCCUGUCUCCGAAAACAAAAACAAUUAUGAGACUGCAGCUCCCCCCAGGAGAACACCAGUCUCUGCAAACAAAUGAGACCCUCAGGGAAGACCCUAAAGCCGUGAGAAGAGACCUAAACUCUUCCUUUCAAAAAUUUAUUGUAACCAUUGUUGCGGACACUGUUGCGGAUCGCCUCAAGAUGGCGAUGGUGAAGCCAGCCUCAAGCUUACGUCAUUCAUUCAUUCGUUCGUUCAUUCAUUCAUUCGUAUUUAUUGAGCGCUUACUAUGUGCAGAGCACUGUACUAAGCGCUUGGAAUGUACAAAUCGGUAACAGAUAGAGACAGUCCCUGCUCUUUGACGGGCUUACAGUCUAAUCGGGGGAGACAGCAUUAAUAAAAAUAGAGUAGUAAAUCUACACAAAUAUAGACAAGAGCUGUGGGGAGGGGAAAAGGGGCAGAGGUAAAGGGCUCAGUCUGGGAAGGCCUCCUGGAGGAGGGGAGCUCUCAGUAGGGCUUUGAAGAGGGGAAGAGAGGGAGUUUGCCAGAGGUGAGGUGGGAGGUCAUUCCUGGUUGGUGGCAGCACGGGCCAGGGGUCGACGGUAGGACAGGCACCAAUGGGGGACGGUGAGGACGUAAGCGGCAAAGAAAUGGAGUGUAUGGGGACCACAAACACACGUUAACUGUAAAAUGCCUGCGCCAUUGCUGUAAAAUGCCUGUGCCAUUACCUGUGCCAUGCGGACCGUAAAAUGGCCACCCCAUGUGAAUCUUCUCUACCAUGCACCACUUCAAACCUCACACAUCACUCUCGCGCGGGCUGGUCGGGUGUCAUGGGAUUAUGAAAGUGUUUACUGAUUGAUUACUGUUACUAUGUGUGCCUAGCCCCAGUUGGGUGCCCUGCACCAGCUGUGGGGGGUACCACCCUUCCAAUUAAACUGCCAGAGCGCCCUGGGAUCGGGGCGCUGUGGUCACUGGUACCCCCUCGGGGUGAACAGGCUGCUCACAACUUUCCUACUGUCCUGAUCUUUGACCUGUUCUCUCGGAGUCUUUCGUCUCUUCUUUGACUAAAUGAACCCUUCCUAAUUUGUCUAAUUUUUGUCGAUAACACCAUGUUUUCCUGAUUUGGUUCAUUCAUUCAAUUCAUUCAUUCAAUCGAAUUUAUUGAGCAUUUAUUGUGUGCAGAGCACUGUACUAAGCACUUGGGAAGUACAAUUCAGCAAGAAAUAGAGAUAAUCCCUGCCCACAACUGGUUCACAGUUAAGAAGGGGGGAGACAGACAUCAAAACAAGUUAACAGGCAUCAUAUAUGCAAGUGUUUUGGGGCGGGGGGUAGAGCAGACAGAGCAAGUUGGGGCAAUGGGGAGGGGACGGGGAGCAGAGGAAAAGGAGGCUUUAGUGUGGGAAGGCCUCCUGGAGGAGGUGAGCUUUCAGUAGGGCUUUGAAGGGGGGAGGUGUGCUAGUUUUGCGGAUUUGAGGAGGGAUCCAGGCCAGAGGUAGGACGUGGGCCAGGGGUCGAUGGCAGAACAAGAGAGAACGUGGCACAGUGAAGGUUAGCACCAGAGGAGUGGAGUGUGGGCUGGGAUGUAGGAGGAGAGAAGAGAGGAGAGGUAGGAUCAGGCAAGGUGAUUGAGAGAUUUGAAGCCAAGAGUGAGGAGUUAUAUGGAGGUUGAUAGGCAACUGCUGGAGAUUUUAAGGAGGGGGAUGACAUGCCCAAAGUGUUUCUGUAGGAAGAUAUUCCAGGCAGCAGAGUGAAGUAUAGACUGAAGCAGGGAGAGACAGGAGGUUGGGAGAUAAGGAAGGAUGCUAAUGCAGUAAUCCAGUCGGAAUAUGAUGAAUGAUUGUACUAAUGUGGUAACAUGGUUAUUGCAGCAGUCGCAAUUUGUCUAAUUAUUUUUCUUAACUUCACUCUCCUCUGUAUCUGUCUGCCCUCACCUAGACUGCGAGCCCUUGGUGGGGCUGAGGAUCAUGCCUUAUUUGAUUGUAUUUCAUCUACCCCAACACUUAGCUCAGUUCAAGAAUCCCUUUUUGUAAUGGCACUUGUUAAGCACUUACUAACUGCUAGUCCAUGGUACAUGGGAUACUCUUAGUAGGAAGGAAAACAGGUAUUGAAUUCUCAUUCUGCAGUUAAGAAAACUGAAACACAGAUAAGUGAAAUAACAUGCCCAAGGUUAUAUUGCAAACAAUUGGCAAAGCCAGGAUUAGAUCCCAGGCCCGCUCUCUUUCCACUAGGCCAUCUGCUUCAAUGACAUGAAUGGUGAUAUUCCAACCAAUAUCCCGAAAGAUUACACCUCUUCCUAGAAACCAGGCUUAUAAGGAAAUCUCUCAGAUCGUUUAGGCAGUAAAACAUUUGCAUAGGAAUGAUCCAAUUUUGAGGAAUGAGAGGAUGUUCAGAGGGUUCUCCACUAUAUCUAGCUUCCCAGGGCCAGUGUCUGUGGAUGGCAGGAAGUGCCUUGAUGGCCGCAUCUUCUUCCCUGAUUUAAAACUCCCUCCCUUCCCUCCCAAGCUUCACCAGCCUCCAGCUGUCCCCAUCUUCAAAGCCCUCCUGAAAUGCUACCUCCUCCCAGAAGCCUUACCCCGCUGAAUUCCUAACCCUCCAAGUCACAUCAUCCCCACAAUUAUGCUAGUGCACACACAUUUUUAACAUUCAAUCAUUUCUUUGGUUAUUUCAUUCUCAUACAUCUACCAAUUACAUCCCUGUUCUUUCCCCAGCUCCUACUGGUCAUAAAUAAUUUGUCUGUGUGUCUCCAAUAGAUUGUAAGUACUUUGAAGACAGAGACCAGGUUAUUUGCUCCUACAGUUGCCUCCCGAGUAUUCAGAUCUAUGUUCUGCCCACAGUAACUGCUUCAUAAAGACCAUCAAAUGCUUGAUAACUUGGAAUGAUCGUCUGCAGACAAAUGCAGAUGAAAGCAGAAACCACUGAGCUGGAAACUGUUGCCUCAGGCCCCCUGUGCUUCAGCAGUGCCCCCCACAUCAAAGGCAAUAGUGGAGUAAAAUCCCUCUCUGUGCCCUAGAAAGGUGGUAGCAGACAGUCAGCUACCCCUUCCCCAGUUCCCUAUCUGAGGUCGCUGAGAGACCUCUACCAGGUAACUGCUCCCCAAAGGGCCUUUUUCAAGGGCACUAGAGGAUCUGAAUCAGAGAAGAAGGGAAGGCUGGGAGGCAGGGGAUGGGCGUCAAAGUAUGGACAGAAUUGUCAGGUGUGUGAGCCAGCCCUUUGCUCUCUGCACAUUCUGAAUACCACCCUCUCUAUUCUCUGCCUUCCAUGCACUGGCUGUUAACCAUUUUGGGCCCUAUUCACUCUCCAAGGGAUAGGAGAAAUAGUUACUCCUUGCUUGCAAUCCUUGCAAAUUGGUCAGAGCUCUAACCACCACUCGCACUUUCAGAUCUGGCAUCCAGAGAUGGGGAGAGCUGAAAAAUCCAUAAGGAGACAGUUCAGGGCAGGACUUCAGCAGAAGGACGCUUAAGAGGGCACUGGGCCAAUUCACAUUCAGCCAGUGGCUUUUGACUUUCCAGCUCAAGCAGAUGUUUACUAUCACCUAAUAGUCCAAGGGUAGUUUACCCUCUAGAUGCUACCUUGGCCAUUGAUUCAUCAUCAUACUCAUCCUCAUCACCAUUAUCAUCAUCAUCGUUAUCCUCAUCAGCAGUAUUUAUCGAGUGCCUUCUAGCUGCAGAGGGUUGUUCUGAGUGACACCUGUGGGCAGAACAGUGUACCGAAUGCUUUCUUUGUGCAGAACACUGUGCUGAGGGUCUGCUGAGUGCAGAGCACUGUUAUUAAUAAUAAUAUUUGUUGUAUACUCUCUGCGCAUUGUACUAAGCACCUGGUCAGUUCAAAAGAGAGAGAUGACACACUCCCUGUUCCUAAAGCACUAACAAUCUAAAUCUGAGAAUCUUCUGAGUGCAUGCCCCUGUGGUGGAGCCAACUGGGUGUAGAGCACACAGAGUACCUGAUACUUGGGAGCCUGUGAUAAAAGUAGAAGACACAGUGCCUACCUUUGAGGAGCCUACAACCUUAUUUAUCUAAGGACAAAGUGUUCAGAGGCCCAGAUGGUUCUAGCAUCGAUCUCAUGGACCCUACACUUGCGUCUUUGUCCACUGACUCUGUCUCUUCUGGAACUGCCUCCAAUUAAUCUUUCUCUUCUGCCUUGGCCUGGUAAAUCAGAGGUGAGCUGCUGAAAUGAAGGUGGC